rnacentral:misc_RNA from 1 species
GCAAACUUGGUCAUUUAGAGGAAGUAAAAGUCGUAACAAGGUUUCCGUAGGUGAACCUGCGGAAGGAUCAUUGUCGAGGACACACUUCUCGAGGUUGAGCUGGCAUCUUGCAUGUGCUCGCCUCUUGAAGCACCAUCCAAACCCCCUCUUGUGAACAUCCCGUAGGACCCCAUGUCCUUUAGUGGCAUGGCCCUAUGUCUUUAUAUCAAGUGCCCAUGUCAUCAGAAUGUCUUUGACUUGGCCUUUGAGCCAUGAAACAUGAAACAACUUUCAACAACGGAUCUCUUGGCUCUCGCAUCGAUGAAGAACGCAGC